GAUGAACGCUGGCGGCGUGCCUAAUACAUGCAAGUCGAGCGAACAGACGAGGAGCUUGCUCCUCUGACGUUAGCGGCGGACGGGUGAGUAACACGUGGAUAACCUACCUAUAAGACUGGGAUGACUUCGGGAAACCGGAGCUAAUACCGGAUAAUAUAUUGAACCGCAUGGUUCAAUAGUGAAAGACGGUUUUGCUGUCACUUAUAGAUGGAUCCGCGCCGCAUUAGCUAGUUGGUAAGGUAACGGCUUACCAAGGCGACGAUGCGUAGCCGACCUGAGAGGGUGAUCGGCCACACUGGAACUGAGACACGGUCCAGACUCCUACGGGAGGCAGCAGUAGGGAAUCUUCCGCAAUGGGCGAAAGCCUGACGGAGCAACGCCGCGUGAGUGAUGAAGGUCUUCGGAUCGUAAAACUCUGUUAUUAGGGAAGAACAAAUGUGUAAGUAACUAUGCACGUCUUGACGGUACCUAAUCAGAAAGCCACGGCUAACUACGUG
rnacentral:rRNA from 1 species